rnacentral:tRNA from 2 species
GCCGGGUUGGCUCAAUUGGUAGAGCAUCCGCCUUGUAAGCGGACGGUUGUGGGUUCGAGUCCCACACUCGGCU